AACGAACGCUGGCGGCAGGCUUAACACAUGCAAGUCGAACGGGUGCAGCAAUGCAUCAGUGGCAGACGGGGGAGUAACACGUGGGAACCUUCCUAGGGGUACGGAACAACUCAGGGAAACUUGAGCUAAUACCGUAUACGUCCGUGAGGAGAAAGAUUUAUCGCCCUUAGACGGGCCCGCGUCGGAUUAGCUAGUUGGUGGGGUAACGGCCUACCAAGGCGACGAUCCGUAGCUGAUCUUAGAGGAUGAUCAGCCACACUGGGACUGAGACACGGCCCAGACUCCUACGGGAGGCAGCAGUGGGGAAUCUUGGACAAUGGGCGCAAGCCUGAUCCAGCCAUGCCGCGUGAGUGGAGAAGGUCUUCGGAUUGUAAAGCUCUUUUGCCAGGGACGAUAAUGACGGUACCUGGAGAAUAAGCCCCGGCAAACUUCGUGCCAGCCGCCGCUGUAA
rnacentral:rRNA from 1 species